UUGAGAUAUGGGAGGCAAUGGAGGAGGCUGCAGCUAUGGGGGCAGGGGAAGGGGAAGAAUCGGGAAUGGGCAAGAAGAGCAGUGACAUGCAGGUGGAGGUGGGCAGCAAGGGUAGGAGUCAGGAUCAGAUGUGGUGUCCUGGAGGAGGAGCCCAGUUCAGGAGGAGCCAGGGAGGAAAAGGGCGGCUUCCUCCAGGACCCUGGGACCCUCGUGCUGCCCACUGCUUUCUCUGGCCUUAGGUGGGCAGGGCAGAAACCAGACCGUACUCCUGAAGGCAGGUGGGGAAGAGGGCAUUCUAGGCUGGCCCUUUUCCUCACCUCCCAACCCAGGACAGAUCCCUAAGCUCUCUGACGAAAGUUCUCUCUUGCCAUUGUGAGGCUGGGGUGAAAUGAGGGCUAAGAAAUGGCUUUGUACCGAUUAAAUGGCUCCCUGGUUGCACAGGCCUGCUGUGGCCUUCCGGAGGACAGGGUAGGCAUGGAUAAAAGAAAAGCAAGCCUCACCUGAUUGGAAAACAUUUUAUGUUCACAGUGCAACGUGGGGUGCCUGCCCCUGACUGCCUUAUACAUGGGCCUCAGCCGUGCUUCCAGAGCCUUGUUCUGUGGUGGACGCUUAACAAAUGACAAGCAGAGGCCUUGUCUGAGGGAGGCAAGAUGUGAAGUCACAACUCAGAAUCUGUUUAGAGCCUAAGGGGCCACUGUGCUGAAGAAGGAGCCACAUAGUUCUGUGACCCCUUGGGCCAGAAGAAGCUAUGGGGGGUUGUCUCUGGAAAUAAGAGUCUCUGGCAGGGUCUGGACCACACCUGAUCCCCCCACACAAGCCCUACGAGGAAGGAGCAGGAUGGAUGGUCUCUGGUCCCAGACAGCUGUUGGGGCCAGAGUGGCUUCCAGAGGCUGGGGUGGGCUGGAGCACCUUUCCUUCCUUCCACCCCGGUGGGCAAAGCUAGGCCUUUUAAACCAUAGGUGCCCACAGUCAUGAACUGCAUUCACAAGGGCCUGGUCCCAAGAUGCCCCUGCCUCCUUAAGGAGCUGAUAAUCCUCCUGGGAUGGGACAGGUCUCUGGCAAACAGUAUUUACUGUCCCUUUAGGUGACACCUGAUGAUCCCGAAGAACCAAAGGGUUUUCUGUCUUCCAUCACGAGUUCGAAUGAGAGUGAGGUGCACACAGAUGAGGAUGCGUCCUGUGAGCCUGAAGGAAGAGCAGCCCCAGGCCAGUGGUUCUUGCCUUGGGAACACCCGCACCAGGGCUAAGGGCUGGCAUUUCCCAUCUUAGCUUGGUGGGGCACAACCAAAGAUGAGAGGUGGGAAUAUGGCUGUCCCUAGAAGAGUGUGGUGAAAGGACCAGGGGUUGCCAGGGCAGGGCUGCAACUCAUUUUCUCAUAAGCCAUUCUUUAUUCACAGGUGAGGCGUGGCCCUUAGGUGUGAGAGAUGCACCAGGCUAAUUUUAUUCUCUCUUAUUCACUCAGUGUCCAACUGCCCAGCUGCUACCAAGUGCCAAGCACCAGGCAGCCAUGAGGGGCCUUUCAGGACCUGUUCUGCUUCUGACUGGUUAGGUCAUCUCAGAGAAGUCAAUGUCCUUGCCUGUCAAAUGAAGCAGCGUUUCCUGCCCUGCCAGCUUCACUGGGUGGUCUCAGUAGUAGCCUGGUGACAACAGCAUGAGCUCUAGGAGAAAGCCACCCUGAGAGUAGGUCUGGAGCUUCCUCUGACUUCAGCCCUGUAAGGCUACCUGCUGCCUGGGACCCAUCCGUUUCCUGCCCCAAGGGCCACUGUUGGAGAAGUGCUGCUAGGGCUGAAUUGAGAGGCCUCAGCCAGCCUGGAUAUCAAGACCGAAGUUGAAAAGGAAGAUUUGAUUCUGGAAAAAACAAAUGUGAAAGAAGAAUUCUCUGGAAGACCGGAAGCAUGAAAAGUGGAGAGUAGGGGAAGAGAGCAUUCAGAACAGCCUGCAGACAAGCAAGUGAGGAGAGACAAGCCAGACACCAGGCAGGCCACAACGAAAGAAAAGAUGUCUCCCAGGAGACAGAGGCCGGAACUGUAAGGAACUGAGGAAAGAGGUCCGCCACAACUCCAGCCUGGCUGCCCCUAGCAGGAAUCUCUAAGCAUGUACUGUGUAUGGGAAGGCCUUCAGCCAGAGUUCCACCUUCAUCGUACAUCAGAGAAUCCACACCUGGGAGAAGCCGUGUGGGUGUGGGUAGUGUGGCAAGGCCUUCAUGCAGAGCUCCCACCUGACCUAGCACAAGAGGGUACACAUGGGGAAGAAGCCAUUUGUCUGUGGCACAUGUGGCAAGGCCCUCAGUCAGGGACCAAGCCUCGUUGUGCACACAGGGGAGAAGCCACACAUGUGCCUGGAGGGUGGCAAGACCUUCAGCUGCAGCUCGUGCUUCCUGGUUCACUUGUAGAGCAACACGGGGGAGAAGCCCUAUUGCUGCACCCAGUAUGGAAAGGCCUUUGGCCAGGGCUCCCACCUUUCCAGGGCAAGGAAAUCAACUCAGAGUUUUGCAAAUUCUCUGAGAUGACCCAACCAGUCAGAGGCAGAGCAUGUCCUAAAAGGUCCCUCAUGGUUGCCUAGUGCCUGGUAUCUGGGACCAUGCCUGGAAGAAACACCAGCCAACUUCCCCGGCCAGAGCCCAGUGCUGAUGGGUCAGGGCUUCAGGUCCAGAACUGAAUCCACAUAAGAGCAAGCUGAGCCCUUGUCAUCAACCUAGCUCUCAGGUUAUGGUAGGCUCCUGUAAGGGCCUCCCAGUGUCUUUGGAGAGAAAAGAUACAUACACAGUAAACACACAAAUGAGUAAAGGACACUAGGUGACAAGCUGAGAUUACAGUGCUGAAGUGUGUGCAGAGAUAGCAAGAUCAACAGGGAGGGAAAGAUGGGUGAAGCUUUAGUGGGUCAGCUCUGGGAAAAUGGGUUGGCAGUAGGUGGAUGAGGGACAGCCCAGGGAGGGGACCAAGCAAACAAGGAAUGCCUCCAGGUGGGCCCCAGUGAGGGGGAGAGUGGCUGUGCAAUCACUAAGAGUGGCAGGCUUGACAUACACAUGGGGAGGUGAGAAGUUUCAGGACAAAAGCCCCGGUGUGUGGGUGGUACCAACCAAGGCCAAGCCCUGCCCACAGUACUGGGCUUCCUGUACCAGGUUAACCCUGUGUGAGCCACUGAGCAUCAUUUUCCACACCUGUGCAGGACAGGAGUUGGACAUGAGGGGCUUUGAGCUCUUCUCUCUUUCACCUGUGAUUUCAGAGCUCUGAAGCCAUUGUCAGAAUGAGGACUAAUAGACGGAGGAGGGAGGUGUUGGGAGAAUGAAGCUGAUGGGAACUCAGGAUAGAUGGGCAAA